CGGCGUGAUGGUCAAUGUGACGCUGUGUUUUUCGGCGAACCAGGCGUUGCUGGCGGCGAAGGCGGGGGCGGCGUUCAUCUCGCCGUUCGUCGG
rnacentral:tRNA from 1 species